GGAGAUUCUCUUGGAUGUGAAGGACCCGGACGGGAGGGAUGGACAAUUGGUAACAACCCCCAGUGUCACAGUGGAGCGUCUCCAGUUUGCAGACGUUGUUGUGUCUGAUGAAAAUGUGCCAACCAGAGAUUCCUGGAAAAUUUCCCCAUUUUCCCAUUGGUCUCCAUGGGGAGCUGGAAUGCAGUGGACAUCUUUCCCGGAAGCCGUGAUGUCUGAGAUAAGAGGAGAGCAUUUCAGCGGAACUUUUCUUAGCCUCCUGUACAGUGUCCUUAUUUGCUUCUUAAAAAAAAAACCAAAAAACAAAAAAAACAGUGUAUCCUUUAUUUGAAAUGUUGUUUAU
ensembl:lncRNA